GACAGGAUGGCAGGAUCCAAAGGGAAUGUAUGAUGGCCAUGCAGAAGGGACUGGAGUCUAAGACAGCCUCUCACAAGUCAUGGGAAUGUAACUGUGAGAGAAGGAAAACCAAAGUACCUUACAAAGUUUCAAACAGAUUUGAUGCAGAUGCUGUAAAGUUGAGGAAACAGCCAGCAGGCACAGAGGAAAGAAAUUUCUGAGUUCCAGCUACAUAGAAGAGCUAAAUAUUACAUCACCAUGACAGUUUAGAACCUGAUUAUCCCUUGAUUUGAACUAAUAAAGCUAUUAUAACUAGAAGCAAGAAAAUGUGAUAUUGUAAAGCCUUUAGA